rnacentral:rRNA from 1 species
AUUGAACGCUGGCGGCAUGCCUUACACAUGCAAGUCGAACGGCAGCACGGGGCAACCUGGUGGCGAGUGGCGAACGGGUGAGUAAUGCAUCGGAACGUGCCAUUGAGUGGGGGAUAACGUAGCGAAAGUUGCGCUAAUACCGCAUAUUCUGUGAGCAGGAAAGCAGGGGACCGCAAGGCCUUGCGCUCUUUGAGCGGCCGAUGUCAGAUUAGCUAGUUGGUGAGGUAACGGCUUACCAAGGCGACGAUCUGUAGCGGGUCUGAGAGGAUGAUCCGCCACACUGGAACUGAGACACGGUCCAGACUCCUACGGGAGGCAGCAGUGGGAAUUUGGUACGAAUAGGCGGCGAA